rnacentral:rRNA from 1 species
GAUGAACGCUGGCGGCGUGCCUAAUACAUGCAAGUCGAGCGCACCGACCCGCCGGAUGCUUUGCUGACAAUUGCGAAGGGCGGGUGAGUAACACGUGGAUACCCUUCCUUUACGACUGGGUUAACUUCGGGAAACAGGAGCUAAUACCGGCUAAUAUCUCGUACCGCAUGAUUCAGCAGUGAAAGACGGUGUUGGUGGCUCUUAUAGAUGGAUCCGCGCUGCAUUAGCUAGUUGGUAAGGUAACGGCUUACCAAGGCAACGAUGCAUAGCCGACCUGAGAGGGUGAUCGGCCACACUGGAACUGAGACACGGUCCAGACUCCUACGGGAGGCAGCAGUAGGGAAUCUUCCGCAAUGGGCGAAAGCCUGACGGAGCAACGCCGCGUGAGUGAAGAAGGUCUUCGGAUCGUAAAACUCUGUUGUUAGGGAAGAACAAAUGUGUAAGUAACUGUGCACAUCUUGACGGUACCUAAUCAGAAAGCCACGGCUAACUACGUG